CAGCCGCCGCGGGAAUACGAAGGGGGCUAGCGUUGCUCGGAAUCACUGGGCGUAAAGGGUGCGUAGGCGGGUCUUUAAGUCAGGGGUGAAAUCCUGGAGCUCAACUCCAGAACUGCCUUUGAUACUGAAGAUCUUGAGUUCGGGAGAGGUGAGUGGAACUGCGAGUGUAGAGGUGAAAUUCGUAGAUAUUCGCAAGAACACCAGUGGCGAAGGCGGCUCACUGGCCCGAUACUGACGCUGAGGCACGAAAGCGUGGGGAGCAAACAGGAUUAGAUACCCCUGUAGUCCCUGUCUCUUAUAC
rnacentral:rRNA from 1 species